GUGUAAGCGUUGUGAGGCGUUGAGCUAACCAGUACUAAUUGCCCGUGAGGCUUGACCAUAUAACACCCAAACA
rnacentral:rRNA from 1 species